rnacentral:rRNA from 1 species
GUAGGGAAUAUUGCGCAAUGGACGAAAGUCUGACGCAGCGACGCCGCGUGAGUGAUGAAGGCCUUAGGGUCGUAAAGCUCUGUUGAAUGGGAAGAAAAAAAUGACGGUACCAUUCGAGGAAGGACCGGCUAACUUCGUGCCAGCAGCCGCGGUAAUACGAGGGGUCCUAGCGUUGUUCGGAAUCAUUGGGCGUAAAGGGUGUGUAGGUGGCCAUGUAAGUCAGGUGUGAAAGCCCCGGGCUCAACCCGGGAAGUGCACUUGAUACUGCGUGGCUUGAGUACCGAAGAGGGUAGUGGAAUUCCAGGUGUAGUGGUGAAAUACGUAGAUAUCUGGAGGAACACCGGUGGCGAAGGCGGCUACCUGGUCGAGUACUGACACUGAGACACGAAAGCAUGGGGAUCAAACAGGAUUAGAUACCCGGGUAGUCC